UGGGCCCAGCUGAGUCUUCAUUAGGACGAGGCUCCUGAAUGGUCCCAUGCUCUGACGGCAUCGCACAGAGGUGUUGCCAUGGUUUCGAAAUUAUAUAUUAAUUUGGAUUCCCACUAGCACUACAGGAGGGUCCCCAUUUCACCACACCCUUGUUGAAGAAAAUUCCAACUGAAAGUAAGCACUCUGCCAAGAGAGUCUUUCAGAACACGGCGGGGACACGGAGCAAGGAGGCUUGCGCACACCUCCUGUUUCAGCCUCUGGAACACCACGGGCUUUUGACUUUUGUCAAUUGCAACUUGUCAAUUGCACGUCCACCACCUCCUCCAACAGGACUUUGGACGGGAACUGAGAUCGUGCACCGAAUAGCCAAUCCUGCAGCAGAAUGUCAGUUUAACUCUGUCAGCACCAGUCAGAAUGCCUUCAAAACAAGUUAUGUAACGUUAUGGUUUCUGCCUUUAGAAGUCUACUCCCGGCUCACAAUGUGGGGCACACUUUCGGGUUUGGCUCCCUCUCUGUGUCUUCAGGAUUACAAUUCUCCUAAGACCCCAAAUACGCACUUUUGGUCCAGGCUUCUUCUUCUUGGUCAACACCCUCGUUAACAAUGGAAGAUGAUACUAUUAAAGAAGAAAAAAAUCUUGGCUAAUUUGA